rnacentral:rRNA from 1 species
GAUGAACGCUGGCGGCGUGCCUAAUACAUGCAAGUCGAGCGAACAGACGAGGAGCUUGCGCCUCUGACGUUAGCGGCGGACGGGUGCGUAACACGGGGUUAACCUACCUUUACGACUGGGAUAACGUCGGGAAACCGUAGCUAAUACCGGAUAAUAUAUCGAACCUCAAUGUUCAAUAGUGUAAGUCGGUUUUGCGGUCAGUUAUAGAUGGAUCCGCGCCGCAUUCGCUACUUGGUAAGGUAACGGCUUACCAAGGCUACGAUGCGUAGCCGCCCUGGAAGGGUGGUCGCCCACACUGGAACGGAGACACGGUCCAGACUCCUACGGGGGGAAGCAGUAGGGAAUCUUCCGCAAAGGACGAAAGCCUGACGGGGCAACGCCGCGUGAGUGAUGAAGGUCUUCGGAUCGUAAAACUCUGUUAUUAGGAAGGAACAAAAGUGUAAGUAACUGUGCACAUCUUGACGGUACCUAAACAGAAAGCCACGGCUAACUACGUG